GACGAACGCUGGCGGCGUGCUUAACACAUGCAAGUCGAACGGAAAGGCCCUGCUUGCAGGGUGCUCGAGUGGCGAACGGGUGAGUAACACGUGGGUGAUCUGCCCCUUACUUUGGGAUAAGCCUGGGAAACUGGGUCUAAUACUGGAUAGGACCAUGCUGUAGGUGGUGGGGUGGAAAGAUUAGUUUCGGUAAGGGAUGAGCUCGCGGCCUAUCAGCUUGUUGGUGGGGUAAUGGCCUACCAAGGCGUCGACGGGUAGCCGGCCUGAGAGGGUGGACGGCCACAUUGGGACUGCGAUACGGCCCAGACUCCUACGGGAGGCAGCAGAGGGGAAUAUUGCACAAUGGGCGCAAGCCUGAUGCAGCGACGCCGCGUGGGGGCUGACGGCCUUCGGGUUGUAAACUCCUUUCAGCCAUGACGAAGCCCUUGUGGUGACGGUAGUGGUAGAAGAAGCACCGGCUAACUACGUG
rnacentral:rRNA from 1 species